CCUUCGGGCGACGCGGUACGACAGGUGCUGCAUGGCUGUCGUCAGCUCGUGCCGUGAGAUGUUGGGUUAAGUCCCGCAACGAGCGCAACCCUUGUCCUUAGUUGCCAGCAUUCAGUUGGGCACUCUAAGGAGACUGCCGGUGUUAGACCGGAGGAAGUGGGGAUGACGUCAAGUCCUCAUGGCCCUUAUGUCCAGGGCUACACACGUGCUACAAUGGCCGGUACAAAGGGCUGCAAGACCGUGAGGUUGAGCGAAUCCCAGAAAGCCGGUCUCAGUUCGGAUUGGAGUCUGCAACUCGACUCCAUGAAGUUGGAAUCGCUAGUAAUCGCGGAUCAGCAUGCCGCGGUGAAUACGUUCCCGGGCCUU
rnacentral:rRNA from 1 species